CAACAAUCUCUAAAAAUCUGUUCUUUUCUCUCGCCCAAUCCAUUGCCACCAUCCAAAAAUAUCUUUUCACUUUUACCGGUAAAAAAUCAGAAACCCUAGUUACUCUACAAUCCUCGAGGACCGAUUGGCCGACGCUCGAACAACCGUACAGCUUCAAUUGUCCCAUUUCCAUCCCAAGAAGUAUAAAAUAUAAAUCNUUAACUUAAGAAGAACCGUCGAGUUCGAUUCAAGAGUUUUGUCCAACCCUAAUCAAAAUCUUGACCGCACAAAAAAUGGCCUCUUUUAUAUUGGGUGUCUCAAAUGCACCUAGAAAAUGACUACUUUUGUAAAGCCUUUCAUAUUAAUCACAUUAAAUCCCCAUUUUGGCUAAAAAUCAAGUUUGUCUGUGUCAAAACAGCCAGACUGAUUCAAUUGAGAAAAAAAAAAUAGAGAGAGAAAAAAAAAAAUAUUCUUCUAUUUGUAACGUUCGAAUUUUUUAUUUUUUUGAAUUUCACUCCCUACUCUUAAAGUAAAUGAAGACUGAAAUCAUAUGACUAAUAAGGCUACACUUUUACGAUUUAAAGCUACGUCUUGAUCUCACUUUAUAUCUCGUCCAGCCCAUGCUCAGACGUAUUUUCCAAAAUUAUGGCAUAUAUACAGUAUGACAAUCAUCCUUGUAUUUCUCCUUUUAAGCAUUGAUCCUAAUUAUACUAAUUAUAUUCCUCACCUAAAAAGGGAGUUAAAUAUUUCACUGAACUUAUAUUCUGUCACGCUUUACUCACUAAAUUUUAAAAUGCUUUUAUAUAGUCAUUAAACUUUUAACACGUUAUACUCAUCACUCAUUCACUAUGUUUCAUUAGCCACCGAACUUUUAAAAUGUUUUGAGUGGUUACUAAAAUUUAACAACCGGUACUUCAGUAAUCAGGCUCAUUCAUCAUAUUCCAUUAAUCAUUGAAUUUUUACACUCCUCAUGCUUUAUUCACUAAAUUUUAAAAUGCUUUGAAGUGGUUGUUAAAAUUUCCUCACCAAAUUCAACUGCUCAAGUUUUAAAAAUUUUAAAGGAUAAAAUACUAUACAUAGAACGACGCCGUUUCUUGUAUCUUGAAUUGCCUUGUGAUAACUCUGAAAAUUAUAUUUUGUUAGUCUUAAUUAAUAAAUGAUCUCAUAAACAUCAAUGCUUAGCUUAUGUUAAGUACCGGUGACAUGACACACCAUUUAAUUAAUGAAUAAGUUAAUUGAAAGUCUAAAUAUCUAUUUGAUAUUUUACCAAUAUCAAUUUCUUGUUUUUAAAUUGAAUGUCCAAUUAUCUAUUUGAUAUUUUUAUUUUAUCUAGUUUGAAUAUCAUAGUAAACUUUAUUAGAAAUCAUUAUGAAGUUCAGUGACUACUCGAAAAUAUUUUAAAAUUCAAUGAGUAAAGUGUGACGGAUUUAUAAGUUUAAUAACUAAUGAAACAUGGUCGGUGAAUGAUGGAGUACAAUCACGUGUUAAAGUUCAAUGAUCACCGGAAGCAUUUUAAAGUUCAAUGACUCAUGAAACACGAUGAGUGAAUGAUGAAGUACACGAAAAAAAAAUGAAAAAUCAAAAUGUCGUCUUAUUAAAAACCCUAAUUAUGACAUCCCUAGUUGAAUUGAAGAAAUCUGAAUGCCUACUGGUAUUAUAGAAUUCCUUCUUGUUAGAAUUUUUUGAAAUGUAACUAAGGUUGCAAGGGUGCCAAACCUUUCGUUUUCUUGCUCGUUUAGUGAUUCCACUUCCACAAACCUAGCGGCAUUUUGAUACCACCAGGAAUAGGAAAACUAAAUUCCAAGGAAUUUGGUUCUUUUGACGAACUGGAUGUCAAUAAAUCCGCGAGUCUAGAAAUUCAUUUCUCAAGAGCGCCACCGACUUUCGGACUGCCUAUCAUCGGUCAUUCCACUCCCCAAGCCCUUGCUACAGUAUCGUCAUUAAUUGUUGACGACGAGUUGGGGCCGCAAGGAUAGGCUUUAACAAGUAGAUAGAAGAUAAAGUCACUACAUGUUAAACUUUAGUGAACAUUCAGAUAUAUAUUAAAAGUUUAAUGAGUAAAAUAAAAUAUGAUGAAAGUAUAAGUUAAGUGCCUGUUUGACAUUCUUUAGUUUAUUUUAUGAUUUGUUAUAUGAUCAUCUUCAAUCACAUAUUCACACAAUAAAAUAUCAUAUACGUAUAUCAAAAAUAUUUUCUUACGUUUUUACACAAAUUCUAUUAAAAAUUAUUAUUCACAACUCUUUUUGACCAAAAUAGUUGUGAAACAUUUUACUCCCAAAAAGGUGGCUCCCACACCUUUCUCCACGUGCUGCCAACAAUCUCUAAAAAUCUGUUCUUUUCUCUCGCCCAAUCCAUUGCGAGCAUCCAAAAAUAUCUUUUCACUUUUACCGGUAAAAAAUCAGAAACCCUAGUUACUCUACAAUCCUCGAGGACCGAUUGGCCGACGCUCGAACAACCGUACAGCUUCAAUUGUCCCAUUUCCAUCCCAAGAAGUAUAAAAUAUAAAUCCAUAGUUUAUUUUACUGUAAUUCUUAUGUUGAUUUCUGUUACAUUCUGUUUGGCUGUUCACAGAACGUAUUUUGCGCACAGUUAACAAUUUACACAAUUUUACUUCAUUUUUUUUUUUUUUUAAAUUUAGCGUUAUCAGGUUCGAUUUUGUCAAUUUCAGGAUUAUUUUUUGUGUAUUGUUGAGAUGAGUUGUUUUUUGAUUUUUUUCCCUUUUCAUAGGGAUCUAUGAUGGCGGACGAGACGUUGAUCAACGGUGAAAACUCUGAUGAUCGGACGGUGGAAAUUACUGGGGAUGAAGUUUCGUCUAAAAUUUCAGUUCUCAGCCAAAAGAUCGAUAGACUUGAGCAGGAAAAUGAGAAGAUAAUUUCCGAGAACAAGAAGUACAAGGAGAGGAUUGAGGAAUUGACGGCCUCUGUAAAAAAUUUGGAUGCAAAAAAUGUGGAGUUGAAAAAACAGGUUGAAAGUUCUGAAUCUGAGAACAAGGCUCUUGGGGCAGUGGCGGCUCGAGCUGCGGAGCUUGAAGCCGAAGUGGCACGCAUGCAUCACGACUUGGGAUCUGCGAUGAGUGAUUUGCAAGAAUCAAAUGUGGAAUUAUCAGAGGUGAAAAAGGAUUUGGAGGAAAUGAACGGAAGGAAUAAGGAGAAGGAUGUUAAGCUUGCGGCAAUUGAGAAGGAGAGGGAUUUGUUGAUGGUGAAGGUCAGUGAAUUGGAGGAGAAAAAGAGCGAUUUCAGGAAUGAAAUGGAAGAGAAGGAAAAGGAGAUUCGAGGUUUGAAGAAGAAAGUUGAGGAAUUGGAGGCUGUGGUGGGAAAGAAUGAGGGAUUGGAGAAGUUGAAAAAUGAGUUGGAAAAAGAGGUUGAGGAAAUGGAAAGGAAAAAUGGAGUUUUGGAGAGUAAAUUGGUUGAGGAAGUGAAGGCAAAGGAAAAAUUGAUUAUGGAAGGUGUUAAUGGUGGUAUUAAUAGGGAUUUUGUGGUCGACAAAGAAAAAAAGGGCUUGAUUGGUGGUCCAAAGGAAAGGGAUUGGGCGGUAAUGGUGGGAUCAGCUGUUGCUGCCGCUUCGGUGUUAGGUGUUGCCUGCUAUUUUCGACAUGUCUCUAGUAAGCACUAAGCAACGAUUGGAUGCACGCAAACAUGCAGGAGUUAGAGGUUAGGAGAGCUCUAUUCUAACCCAAGAAAAAAGAGUUUUCGAUUUUGAUAAGUUCUAUUUCUUUUGUUUGUUUGGGUUUCUAUCUUCUGAGUUUGGUGAUUUUAGUUGAUACCAGUAGUAACCUUUUAAUAAUAUUAUUGUUGGCUAGUACUUGAACAAUAUAUAUUUUGUUUAGAAACCUUCAGGCUGGGGAAUAUACUGUGGUGAUUAUGGUGAAUGUGACUUACUGAAAUUUGGAUAUUAUGAGAUCAAAUAUGCGUGGAAUGAUUUUUGAGUUUGGACUGCUCACUGCUUGAAAUUUGUAUAUGUUUCUAUGGAUGUCACCGUAAAAUUUUAUUGCGGUGCUUUAUUUUGGCUUACAGUUACUUUACGACAUCAUAUUGAUAUGAAUAGUGCGGAUUUAUCAGUGUUGUGUUAUGAGAUCAAUCCUUGCUUUUAUGGAAGAGGAAAAUUUGUUUGGAACUUCAUAUGGUACUUUCUAGGAAAUUGUUGACGUGUUCUCCAAAUUGGUUGAGUCCGGUGAUAUAUCUCAUCCA
rnacentral:lncRNA from 1 species